CCUACGGGUGGCAGCAGUGAGGAAUAUUGGUCAAUGGUCGGGAGACUGAACCAGCCAAGCCGCGUGAGGGAUGAAGGUACAGAGUAUCGUAAACCUCUUUUGUCAGGGAACAAAGGCGGGGACGUGUCCCCGGAUGAGUGUACCUGAAGAAAAAGCAUCGGCUAACUCCGUGCCAGCAGCCGCGGUAAUACGGGGGGUGCGAGCGUUAACCGGAUGUAUUGGGUUUAAAGGGUGCGCAGGCGGUCUGUUAAGUCAGCGGUGAAAUGCCCGGGCUCAACCCCGGCACGGCCGUUGAAACUGGCAGUCUUGAGUUGGAGAGAAGUAUGCAGAAUGCGCGGUGUAGCGGUGAAAUGCAUAGAUAUCGCGCAGAACUCCGAUUGCGAAGGCAGCAUGCCGGCUCCACACUGACGCUGAGGCACGAAAGCGUGGGUAUCGAACAGGAUUAGAUACCCUUGUAGUC
rnacentral:rRNA from 1 species